GCACUCACCUAUCCACUAAACAGCAACUUCAAUGUUGAAAAAUCUUUCAACAUUGAAGUUGCUGUUUAGUGGAUAGGUGACUGC